rnacentral:miRNA from 1 species
GCGCUGACCCGCCUUCUCCGCA